rnacentral:lncRNA from 1 species
GGAUAUGUACCCAGAAGGAGGAUAGCUGGGUCAUAGAGCAUAUCUAAUUUAAGUUUUUUGAGAAAACUUCUGCUCUCUAUAAUGAUCAUACCAAUUUAAAUUCCCACCAAGAGAGUGUAAGUGUUCUUUUUCUCUCACAUCGUCACAAACAUUUACUAAUUUUAGGGUUUAUUGUUAAUAAUAGACCUUCUAACUGGAGCGAUAUGGUAUCUCAUUGUAAUUUUCAUCUUGAUUUCCCUGAUGGCUAAUGAUAUUGAGUGGGUUUUUUUUUUUUCAUGUAUUUUUGACUGUUUGUACUUCUUUGAGAUAUAUGUCUAUUCACAAAUCAUUUGUCCAAUGUUUAAUUGGAUUACUUGUUUUUAGUUUUUUAGUUUUUUUUGAGGUCAUUAUACAUUCUAGGCAUUAACCCUUUGUGAGACGCAUAGCUGGCAAGUCUUUUUCCCAUUCCAUGGCUCGUCUCAUUCUGUUGACUGUUUCUUUAGCUGUGCAGAAGGUUUUUCAAUUUAAUAUAUCAACUUUGUCAAUUUUUGCUUUUGUUUCUUGUGUUUUUGUGGUUCUAUCCAGAAAAUUGUUGCUUGAACCAGUUUCUUAUUUCUCCAUAUUUUCUCCUAGUAGUUUUAGAGUUUUCAGGUUUUACAUUUAAGCCUGUGUGCAUUUUGAAUUUAAUUUUGUACAUGGAAAAAGGAAUCAAGAUUCAAUCAUCUGUAUGUGGAUAUCCAUUUUUAGCAUCAUUUAUUGAAGAGGUGGUCCUUUACCAAAUGUUUUCGUUUUUGGAAACUUUGUUAAGAAUCAGCAGAUAUAGAUGCAUGGAUAUAUCUAUAUCUAUCAAUCUAUAAAUACACAUAUAUAUGUAUACACACAUACAGAGAGAGAGAGAGAGAGAGAGAGAGAGAGAGAGAGAGAGAAGGAGAGUGUGUCUCUAUUCUGUAGCAUUGGUCAUUGUAUCUAUUCUUAUGCAAAUACUAUGCUGUUUUGGUUGCUAUGGUACUGUAGUAUGUCUUGAAAUAAGUUAUUGUGAUGCUUACAGCCUUUGUGUAUUUAUUUUUUUUUCUCAAGAUUUCAUUAGCUCUUCAGGGUCUUUCGUGCUUCCAUAUGAAUUUUAGAAUUUUCUUCUCUAGUUCUGUGAGGAAUAUCUUUCAUAUUUUAAUGGGAAUGGCUUUUAACCUGUAAAUUGCUUAAGGUAUUAUUGCUGAAGGAAUAUAUGCUUAAGGUAUUAUUACCAGCACUAAUUCUUCCGAUCCAUGAGCAUGGAAAGUUUCUUAUUUAUUUUGUAUCUUCUUCAAUUUCCUUAAUCAGUGUGUGGUAGAUGUCUUUUGUUCUUUGCUGUUUUGUUUGCUGUUGUAAAGAUUAGUGAAUGAGAUUGUUUUUAUUAUUUGGUUCUCAGCAGAUUAAUUAUUGGUGUAUAAAAAUCUCACUGAUUUUUGUAUAUUGAUUUGUAUCUUGCUACCUUAAUGACUUUAUCCAUUCUAAUAGUCUUUUGGUGGAAUC